rnacentral:lncRNA from 1 species
UGGGAACGGAAAAAAAUAAAUAUGACUCAAAUAAAACAGAUAAUUUGUCUAUGCACCAGAAAUUUGAUCAAUUAAUUGAUGAUUAUUUUCCCGAUUUAAAAGACGAAAAAGAAGAGAAAAUAGAAAGAUGUCCAAAAACGGGUGAUUAUGUAUUUAAGAAAAUAAAUAGGGACAAAGAAGAUUAUGUGAGAAUAUAUGAAAGUGACGGUCCUCCUAUAUUUACCGAUUUGGUGGAAAAUGAAUCUAAAAUUGGAACAGUACAUAUUACAAAUCCUUUGCCUAAAAUUGAAAGAAAAAAUGAGUUAAAGAAAGAUUACUUAGAGUGGCUAAAAAUGGAGAGAUUGAUGAAACCCAAUGAAAGAAGAGAAGAAUAUGAACUAAUGCAAAAUAAAUAUUUAGAAACUAUAAAAUUAUCAAACGAAAUAAAACAAGAUAUUAAACUGGCCAGAGUAAUUAAAUCACAUUAUCCUAGAGGAAUAGUGUUGAUUCUGUAUAUAAUGAAAACACUGUGUUAUAUAAAGAUAAGUAUGAAGAAAUUAAAAAUAAAGAAAAAUAUAAAAAUAAAAUAUCUCAAGAACGAAGGGAAGGUAAUUUUGACUAUUAUAAAUCUGCAUAUUCUUUUUAAAAUAAAAAAGUACCAUAGAUAUUAUUUAAUUGUGUUUCUUCUUUUUUUUUUAAUUACAUAUAUUUUUUUAAUUAUAUAUAUAUAUAUAUAUAUAUUUUUUUAGCGCUUCAAAAACAAAAUAACAGAAAUGGUGAUAUACUAGCUUUUGAUCCUACUAGUAAAACGUAAAUCCCCAACUAAACCGUUACUGAUGAAUGUUUUUUUUUUUCUUUUUUUUUUUUUUAAUAUUAACAAAAGAUAUGGAAAUAUAUUGUGCAUACAUCUAUGUGUAAUUUACGUAUUUUACUACAUCCAUCAAUAUGAUUUUAUAAAAAAGAGUGUACAUUUAUAAAUUUUUUAUUAUUUGUUUAACAAUAAUUGGACAAACUAUAUAUUGUGAAUUUUUUUAAAUUAUUUGAUUUUAUUUUUAAUACUGCGUUUGUUUAUAUAUUUUUAUAUUAUUUCGUUUAUCAAAUUAAACAUUACAAGUAAGCAAUUAUGGAAAAUAUAUAUAUAUAUAUGAAUAAAACACAAAAAAAAAAAAAAAAAAAGUUAUUU